AGGACGAACGCUGGCGGCGUGCUUAACACAUGCAAGUCGAGCGGAAAGGCCCUUCGGGGUACUCGAGCGGCGAACGGGUGAGUAACACGUGAGCAACCUGCCCUUAGCUCUGGGAUAGCUCCGGGAAACCGGAAUUAAUACCGGAUAUGACCUAGGCCGACAUCGGCCGUGGUGGAAAGUUUUUCGGCUAGGGAUGGACUCGCGGCCUAUCAGCUAGUUGGUGGGGUAAUGGCCUACCAAGGCGACGACGGGUAGCCGGCCUGAGAGGGCGACCGGCCACACUGGGACUGAGACACGGCCCAGACUCCUACGGGAGGCAGCAGUGGGGAAUCUUGCGCAAUGGGCGAAAGCCUGACGCAGCGACGCCGCGUGGGGAUGAAGGCCUUCGGGUUGUAAACCCCUUUCAGCAGGGACGAAGCGAAAGUGACGGUACCUGCAGAAGAAGCGCCGGCUAACUACGUGCCAGCAGCCGC
rnacentral:rRNA from 1 species